GAAGUAAGAACUCUGGCAGAAAUACACAGACGUGAGUGGAAAGAUGCACAUUCCAGGCUGAACAAUGUCUGCAAUUUAAAUAAUUGCUAAACAGGCAAUUAUUUAAAAAAUGUGUCCAUCGUGUGCUGCUGUGUGAUGUGAUUGAUAUCAGACAAUAGAUCAGGAGAGAAACUGCAGACCCGUUCGCAUCUCUUUAUCCCUCAAUCAUCUCCUGAGGCUGAUACGGCAGUUACCAAGCAGGAAAUGGGGAGAGAAAGACAUGCGGCUGAGGUGGAACCCAACACGGCUCCAGUGCUCCAGUCUCUGUAUGCAGGGCACCAGAUCUACCACUGCAACCCGUGACGCCCUAUGGUUCAGACGUUCCCUAUCACCGCAAUGCUAAACCCUAAAAGAAAAAUGUCAAAUUUUCGAGCGAAAAGUUCAG